rnacentral:lncRNA from 1 species
CAGGUCGGGCCGUUGCGCAGGCGGAGGUGCCAGCCCCCGCAGCGGGCCAUGUCGGCAGCCCCCAUCCGCCGGCCGCCUUGCCGCCCGCGUCCCCGCCGGCGGCGGCGGCCCCGGACCCGCCGAUCCGCCGCGGCUGCGGCCGGCCCCCCAGCCGAGGGCGCGUAGGAGGGCCGGGCCGCCCCGGUCGGGCCGUUGCGCAGGCGGAGGUGCCAGCCCCCGCAGCGGGCCAUGUCGGCAGCCCCCAUCCGCCGGCCGCCUUGCCGCCCGUGUCCCCGCCGGCGGCGGCGGCCCCGGACCCGCCGAUCCGCCGCGGCCGCGGCCGGCCCCCCAGCCGAGGGCGCGUAGGAGGGCCGGGCCGCCCCGGUCGGGCCGUUGCGCAGGCGGAGGUGCCAGCCCCCGCAGCGGGCCAUGUCGGC